GGAAUUGCUAGUAAUGGCAGGUCAGCAUACUGCCGUGAAUACGUUCCCGGGCCUUGUACACACCGCCCGUCACACCAUGAGAGUUAGAAAUACCCGAAGCCUGUGAGCUAACUUUAAUAGAGGCAGCAGUCGAAGGUAGAACUAAUGAUCGGGGUGAAGUCGUAACAAGGUAAC
rnacentral:rRNA from 1 species